GUCAACACAAUGUGUAACAUUAACCUAUUUAAUUAUUGGGAUACCCACCUUUGGAUAAGAUUUUUGCGAUGGAUUGUGCCAAAGACGGCUUCUCCGCGACCAUCAAGACCGUCCUCAUUGUUGACAAUCCUAGAGUUUCCAGAAGGAUUUGUGAGCAGCUCUCGGACUAAUGCAACCGUCCCCUCGUGUGUGGCAGACCAGCGGCGUCCGCGAAAAUUGUGAGGAUUUUGCAUAUGCUGCCAAGGCACGCGCCAUUUCCGUGCCCACCAGCAGGGCUGCGCAGAGCCUGGAAUUCACACGACGUCAGCAAACUCGCCACGUGACGGCUGUGGUAAGACGUUUGCAAUUCAAUUGGAAACCUUCAUCAUUCGAAUUUUUCCACUCUAAUGUUUUUCCUCUCAAAUGACUUGCAGACAAGCUAUUUGCUGCUUUGUUAAUAAUGUAUAUCUACGUGCCUUGCUGACGAGACCCUAUCAAUAUUGCCUCUGCUUUUUUGUGUAUAAAUGGAGUAGUGCAAUAUUGCUUAUAGGGUCUUGACUUUGAGGAAUGUUCUUCUAAUUCUUAAGUUAUUUUCUUGCUUCGCCCUACACGCUAUUUGCUUCAUUAGAACUUUCAUGCUAAGAUGUUCACGUAAGUUAUGAGAUGUUACCAUGUACUUGUUGCUGUUUGGGUGUUCUAAUUACUGUUAGUGUUUAAAAGCUCUAGUGUUGUGAAGCACAAUCAGACAACAGUUCUUUGGUGUUCUGAGUGUCAUGCAAAAUUGUUUUAUUAAAACUGAGUGAGCUGGAGGCUGUGGCUCUUUCAGAGUGGGGCAGGAGGAGACUGUUUAAAAUGCUCCUGUCCCAGUGUCGAGGGAGGUGUGUCACAAUCGGUGAGCGGCUUGUUUACAGCUACUGAAGCACCAGUGGAGGAGGAAGUCACCGUUGGUGUGCUUCGGAGUGACUCAACCCAACAAACCCUACAGUACCGUGUGAUUAACAGAGUUCCCUCCUCAGGUGAUGGCCCAGGGAAGCUGGAGCACAUUCUGCGUACCCGCUAGCACAUUGUCAAGGGUGGGAGCCAGUGGGUGGCCCCCACUUUCCAAAACCAGAUGGGCUGCUGUCUACGUACAGCCAUUUCCAGGAAACUCAGAGGGAAGGAUUCUGGCCUUUCUUCAUGAAUUGGCUUUGCACAUGUCUUGAAUGCAUACAUUCUGUGGAUAAACCUUUAAUCUCAAAGGAUGCUUCUUUUAUGAGAAGGAGAAGCAGAAUUUUAAUUUUGAUGCUGGUUGAACUGCUGAAAUUGUGCUGGUUAGUUGCAGUUGUCGGGCCCGUUGGCUGUCAAUGCUGUUCGGUUACGUGGCUGAUGAAAAAAGACGUGUUUGCAGCCAUAUGGGGCUAAUUAUUAUCCUCUGAAAUGGCAUGUACACUGUGAAUAUGAUUUAUUUACUACUAGGCUAGAAGGGUUGGGAGAAGAAGGAAGAAUGACAUAAUCUGUACAGGGAAAAACGAGCUUGAUGUUUAAUGUGUGGGACGCCACCCUUGGUGCGAAGAUGGGGUGUAUUUAAUAACUGUCUGUAAGGUAAUUGUGACACUUGGUGACUGCUCCUGUUCUUCCACUAUGAAGACAACAGGGUGUUUUGGAGUUUUAUGGGAAGUUUCUUGCUUUUGAUUGGAUUGGCAAUGUGGAUGGUUCCAUCGACCCGUUGUUUUGAUUGGAGGACUGAAAGUGUCUCUUGAUCGCCAAACUCUAAAUAUUGUAACUGGUAGUACCCAUCACACCUCAGUCGUGGAUCAGAGUUUGGGUGGAAGUGCUGAGUUUAGGUGGAAGUGCUGAGUUUAGGUAUAUUCACCAGCUGUGUUUGAUGUGUAAAACAUCAGAUAAGUGUGGGAUGUGUUUGUCUGUUUGGAGUCACAGAGACGGCCAUGUUUUAUUCUGGAUAAUUCUGCAGAAGCCUGAAUUCUAGCUUUUUCUGUAGCUCAUGGUUUUUUAUUACUAUUUUAUAUUACCAACAGUGUUUUUUAAAAAAAGCUUUUUAGGUGAAAUGUGCAGAAUGAUUCUUGAUAAGAUUAUACAUUAGCAUUCAUCUGAGCUUGAGUAAUCUGUGUGUGUGCAUGUGCGUGUGUGUGUGUGAUUGUGUGUGUGUGCAUGUGUGUACGUGUGUGUGUGGCUCAUGGUUGUGUGUAUGUGUGUGUGUGUGUCUGAUUGUAUGUGUGUGUGUGUCUGUGAGUGUGUAUGUAUAACUGUGCAAGAGUGUGUUUGUGUAUGUGAGUGUGUAUAACUGUGUGCGUGUGUCUAAUUGUGUGAGUGUGUAUAACUGUGUGUGUGUGUCUGAUUGUGUGUGUGUAUAAUUGUGUGUGUGUGUGUGUAUGUAUGACUGUGUGUGUGUGUGUGUGUGUGUCUUAGUGUGUAUAAGUGUGUGUGUGUGUCUGAUUGUGAGUGUGUAUGUAUAACUGUGUGAGAGAGUGUGUGUGUGUGUAUGUGAGUGUGUAUAACUGUGUGCAUGUGUCUGAUUGUGUGUGUGUGAGAGUGUGUAUAACUGUGUGUGUCUGAUUGUGUGUGUGUGUGAGUGUGUGUAUAACUGUGUGUGUGUGUGUGUGUGAGUGUGUAUAACUGUGUGUGUGUGUGUGUGUGUGUGUGUGUAUGUAUGACUGUGUGAGUGUGUGUAUAACUGUGUGUGUGUGUGUGUGUGAGUGUGUAUAACUGUGUGUGUGUGUGUCUCGUUUGGAGGUGCUGCUCCCUGGCUGGCUGCCCUAGCCUGUUGUCUGAGCCUCUUUCCCUGUUGCACUACUGUUGGAGCAGCUAGCAGUGCAAUAAUGAAAGGGCAUCGGUCACCAGGGCGCACGUCUAACGCUCCAGUCCAUCCUGAACGUUCCCAGAGUGCUCAGUGUCUCAGUAAACCACUGCGCAGUCUCUCACAUCCGUCCUGAACGUCCACAGUGUCUCAGUAAACCACUGCGCAGUCUCUCACAUCCAUCCUGAACGUCCACAGUGUCUCAGUAAACCACUGCGCAGUCUGUCACAUCCGUCCUGAACGUCCACAGUGUCUCAGUAAACCACUGCGCAGUCUGUCACAUCCGUCCUGAACGUCCGCAGUGUCUCAGUAAACCACUGUGCAGUCUCUCACAUUUCUGAAUAAAUUCUCAAAUGUAAACAUUUUUUUUGUUGUUAUUAUUCUGAAAUUGCAAACAAUUCAUUGGCAAAGUAACCAAACUUGAAGUCUGGUUUUGGGGGGAAAAGGAGGUUCGUGGUUUUUGCUGUUGUUUUUAAGAACUAUCGUUGGGGACUUUUUCAAACCAUGCCAGGACAGUGCCAUUGCAGGUCACUGGUCUUCAUUGUUAUGGUGUGUUUCCAUACUUGUCCAGUAACAUUGAUCAUUUAAAUCCCCAAGAAUCAAAUACCCAUCGGCAUGGUAGAUAUACAGGAGCACCCAGAUGAAGCAAUGUGAAUUUUUCAAACUCGGUUUAAAAAAAAUAAUUUAAAAAUUGUUUAAAAUCUUUAAAAUUCGUGGUGCUUUUAAUAGUGACAUUAAAGUCAAGGCAAAUGUAAAUAGUAACGUCAAUUAUGAAUGGUAAAAAUGUGACUGUUUUAUAAACAAACAAAAAACAAGAUAUUUGUCCCAUUUCCAAACAGUUGCAUAAACGGUUAUCUCAUUUUGAAUGAAUUAAUUAUUAAUACAUUUUCGGGGAGUUCUGGUGCGGCUAGAACUAAAUCUCUUCUGUGUGAAUCUCAAAAUCAUAUAUAGCCUGCCCAGCUCCCUAUCGGCCGUUUAAAUGAGUUCAAACGUGGACUACACGCUUGUGCAAUAUUCAGCCAUUUUAUAAUGGCUUUGCGUUUGUAAUUUCAUAUGGUCGUAUACAUUUUUGUUUUGACAAUAGGUUCUGAGAACCCCUCCUCCUAUUCUUCGGAACUUCUUUUCAAGUGGUUCGACCGAACUCUUGGGUGGCCAAGUGAACACUAUGCAGUCCUUUUGGCUUUCCCACACAGGCGAUAUGAGCGGAACACUUCGCUCAGAUCGCUAUUCUUCCCCUAGGCUCCGCCCACCUCCUGCCCUCUCGCCCUUUUUUUUUUUUGUCUGUGCGGGGUUGGGGUUUCUCAAAGUCCGGGUAUUGCGAGGAAUGGACGCUUCUGUGGGAGUAAACGUCCAGUUACCGACAGAGGGGAGCCCGGAGAGACGCAUUGUUUGCGUGUCCUGACCUUCUGAAGUACUGGUCAGCACGGGCCCUGACAGCUGCUGAGGCGGCAACGCCUUUGAAGAUUUAAGAGGUUAUGACCCCCCGCCUAGAGCCCUCGACCCCACCGUUCCAUCUUAUAGGGUUCCCCCCUCGCUGACACGCACAUUGGGCAGUUAAUUCUGUGAAUUAAAUGAUGCAUAUAUCCUAGAGUCGCUUUGCUAUCUUUUGUUUACUUGAACGAACCUUGAGUGCAAAGGUGGGGGGACUGUGAAUUUCAGGGGGGGAAAUCCUGAAACCAUUUUCUUAGUGAAUCUAGGAGUUAAGAUCAGACUGAACAGCAAUCAACACACUUUAUUUAUUUAUUUACUUACAUUAAUCACCGAAAAUGCGUUAACAGCGGCCCAUCAAUCGCCACGCAAAUGACUGGCUUGGGUCGUAGCCGAAUAUCCAUAACUCUUUGGUCAAAGAAAAUAAAACGUUUACGUUUCUGGUGAAA